rnacentral:rRNA from 1 species
GACGGAAGGUGCAAGCGUUGCUCGGAAUCACUGGGCGUAAAGGGUGCGUAGGCGGCCGUGCAAGUCUGGCGUGAAAGCCCCGGGCUCAGCCCGGGAAGUGCGCUCGAAACUGCGCGGCUCGAGUGCCGGAGGGGAGAGUGGAAUUCCUGGUGUAGCGGUGAAAUGCGUAGAUAUCGGGAGGAACACCAGUGGCGAAGGCGAUCACCUGGGGUUGUUCUGACGCUGAGGAGCGAAAGCUAGGGGAGCAAACGGG